AAAAAAGACAACCCUAAUUUUUAUACUAAUAUUUGACGUCUAUCUUAUAUAAAAUUUUUUUAUAAUUAGUAUUUUCAUUGGUGUUAGAUGAUAAAACAUGAUUAAUACUUUAUGCGUGAUUUAUCUUUUUAAUUUUUUUUAUAAUUUUUUUAAAUAAGACGGACGGUCAAACGUUGGACACGGAAACCAGGGUUUGUCUUUUU
rnacentral:pre_miRNA from 1 species